rnacentral:rRNA from 1 species
UACGGAGGGUUCAAGCGUUGCUCGGAAUCAUUGGGCGUAAAGCGCACGUAGGCGGUCCGCUAAGUCGGAUGUGAAAGCCCUGGGCUCAACCCAGGAAGUGCAUUCGAAACUGGCGGACUUGAAUAUGGAAGAGGGUCGCGGAAUUCCCGGUGUAGAGGUGAAGUUCGUAGAUAUCGGGAGGAACACCAGUGGCGAAGGCGGCGACCUGGGCCAAUAUUGACGCUGAGGUGCGAAAGCGUGGGGAGCAAACAGG